rnacentral:rRNA from 1 species
UGGGGAAUUUUGGACAAUGGGGGAAACCCUGAUCCAGCCAUCCCGCGUGUGCGAUGAAGGCCUUCGGGUUGUAAAGCACUUUUGGCAGGAAAGAAACGUCAUGGGUUAAUACCCCGUGAAACUGACGGUACCUGCAGAAUAAGCACCGGCUAACUACGUGCCAGCAGCCGCGGUAAUACGUAGGGUGCAAGCGUUAAUCGGAAUUACUGGGCGUAAAGCGUGCGCAGGCGGUUCGGAAAGAAAGAUGUGAAAUCCCAGAGCUCAACUUUGGAACUUCAUUUUUAACUACCGGGCUAGAGUGUGUCAGAGGGAGGUGGAACUCCGCGUGUAGCAGUGAAAUGCGUAGAUAUGCGGAGGAACACCGAUGGCGAAGGCAGCCUCCUGGGAUAACACUGACGCUCAUGCACGAAAGCGUGGGGAGCAAACAGG